rnacentral:lncRNA from 1 species
UGAGGUCAGGAGUUCAAGACCAGCCUGAGCAACACAGCAAGACUCUGUCUCUGCAAAAAACCAAAAACCAAAACCACAGGGCGGGGAGGUCAGACCAGCUGCCUGGAAUCCCAGCCCAGACCCUCACCAGCAUGUGACCCAGGACGGGCCACGUGCUGUCUCCUCAGGAAGCCUCAAUUUUCUCAUCUGGAGACAGGGACAAUGAAUCCCUUCCAGGAUCACUGUGAAAAGACAGGUUGAGCAUCUCUAAUUCGCAAAUCUGAAAUCCGAAAUGCUCCCAAAUCUGAAACUUUCUGAGUGCGGACCUGAUGCCGUCUCGUUCUGUCCAGAUGAAGAUCUCUUCGAGUGGCUACUUGGAAUGCACUCCAGAGGCCCCUGACAUUGAUUCUUCUCUAGACUCAAACUAACCUAGUUACAUGUCCGCCCUCGAACCAGCGGCUGCAGCCGAAGCAAUUUAUGGACAUGUCUCCUCAUGGUUUCAAGACAGCUGCUGUGGCUCCAGGCAUCACACUGGGACAUGAUAAAAUCAAGCAAAGAGGAGGAGGGCAUUUUUUCCCCUGUGUCUCCUUUCAUGAUGGAGAAAAUUGUUCCCAAAUUUCCCCCCUGCAGAUCUGCAGACUUCUUAUUGGCCAAGAUGGCGUUACAUCUAUAAUUCCAAACCAGUCACUGAUGGAGGAAUGAGAAUGACUGCAGUUGGCUUGGACCUAUAACUCACUCUGAAGCCGGGGCGAGGAAUAGCCACCGUCCCUGAGCUCCUGAGUAGAUGCACAACCAACAAAACUGAAUCCCGUCAGCGAAGGAGUCAUGGGUGGGCAACCCGUGCUGUGUCUACCAUAAGCACAACUCCUGGUGCUCAUGAGGUGCCCCCAAAGGCUGGCAUUUGGCAAGCUCAAGACUGGGAGUCCACACAGUGCUCCAGGUGGGAGGAUCACAACCGCGAUUGGCCAGGGAGUCCCUCUGGGUGCCAGACCCCUGUAUGCAAAGCCCCACUCAGCAUCUCCACUUGAUUGGCUUAUGGGAACCUCAAAUCCAACACACUAUAUUUGAACUCAUCAUAUUUCCUCCCCACUGGCCUCCUCUGUUGGUACCCACCUUGCUCAAGCCAGAAGCUGGCUGGUCCUCAGGAGUCCCUGCUUUCCUUCCCCAUCUGUGCCCACGUCUCUCCAGCUCUGCCAUCAUCUUCCACCUGGACACCAACCAAGCCCCCGCUCUCCCUGCUGCUGUGUGGGCAUCAACAGCCUAUGCUGUUCCCUCUGAACGGAACUCUUCCCGCUCCUGUUUCCCUGUCACCUUGCUCAGGAAAGCUCUUCUGAUCCCCCCAAGUUGAAUCCCUCAUUACAAACCUCACAUCCUGACAUACAUCUCUCCAUUGCCCUGAUCAUACUUCUUAUUUACCUGUGUGAUUAUUUCACUCAUGUCUCACCCCACCAGGUUGCAGCUCCAUGAGGGUGGGAAUUGGGUCUGUUUUGUUCACUGAUAACCUUCAGUGCCUGACACAUAGUAGGGCCUCAAUUUUAUUCCUGAAUCCCAUAAAUGAAUAAAUUCAUCCCCUGCCCUGUGGCCAGGGAGAUCACUCUAAGAAGCAAAUCUAAUCACUCCCUCUCCUGCCAUAAGCCUUCCAUGGCUCCCCUUUACCCACAGGACAAAGUCUAAAGGGCUUAACCUGGCUCUUUCAGGCUCCUCAAAGUGGAUUCUGCCACCUCUCCAGCCCCAUCUCACCUGCCCCAUUGUCCUUUACGGUCCAGCCACCCUCUACUCCUUUAGGUGUCUCAAAGUCUGCAUGUUCUCUCCUAUCCCUGGAUUUGCCUAUAUGCUAUGUUUCUCCCGGAAACUUUGUCUCAAAAAAU